UACAGAGGGGGCAAGCGUUGUUCGGAAUUACUGGGCGUAAAGGGCGCGUAGGCGGCCUUCUAAGUCGAAUGUGAAAUCCCCGGGCUCAACCCGGGAACUGCGUCCGAUACUGGAAGGCUUGAAUCCGGGAGAGGGAUGUGGAAUUCCAGGUGUAGCGGUGAAAUGCGUAGAUAUCUGGAGGAACACCGGUGGCGAAGGCGACAUCCUGGACCGGUAUUGACGCUGAGGCGCGAAAGCCAGGGGAGCAAACGGG
rnacentral:rRNA from 1 species